UACACGACCGUACCGCAAACCGACACUGGUGCGCGAGAUGAGUAUUCUAAGGCGCUUGAGAGAACUCAGGAGAAGGAACUCGGCAAAUUGACACCGUAACUUCGGAAGAAGGUGUGCCUUUAGUAGGUGAACCAUUUACUUGGGGAGCCCAAUGAGGCUGCAAAAAAUCGGUGGCUGCAACUGUUUAUUAAAAACGCAGCACUCUGCUAAGACGAAAGUCGACGUAUAGGGUGUGACGCCUGCCCGGUGCUGGAAGAUUAAAUGAUGGGGUGCAAGCUCUUGAUUGAAGUCCCAGUAAACGGCGGCCGUAACAAUAACGGUCCUAAGGUAGCGAAAUUCCUUGUCGGGUAAGUUCCGACCUGCACGAAUGGCGUAAUGAUGGCCACACUGUCUCCUCCUGAGACUCAGCGAAGUUGAAAUGUUUGUGAUGAUGCAAUCUCCCCGCGGAAAGACGGAAAGACCCCAUGAACCUUUACUGUAGCUUUGUAUUGGACUUUGAACAGAUCUGUGUAGGAUAGGUGGGAGGCUUUGAAGUGUGGUCGCUAGAUCGCAUGGAGCCAACGUUGAAAUACCACCCUGGUGUGUUUGAGGUUCUAACCUAGGUCCAUUAUCUGGAUCGGGGACAGUGCAUGGUAGGCAGUUUGACUGGGGCGGUCUCCUCCCAAAGUGUAACGGAGGAGUUCGAAGGUACGCUAGGUACGGUCGGACAUCGUGCUAAUAGUGCAAUGGCAUAAGCGUGCUUAACUGCGAGACUGACAAGUCGAGCAGAUGCGAAAGCAGGACAUAGUGAUCCGGUGGUUCUGUAUGGAAGGGCCAUCGCUCAACGGAUAAAAGGUACUCUGGGGAUAACAGGCUGAUACCGCCCAAGAGUUCAUAUCGACGGCGGUGUUUGGCACCUCGAUGUCGGCUCAUCUCAUCCUGGGGCUGUAGCCGGUCCCAAGGGUAUGGCUGUUCGCCAUUUAAAGAGGUACGUGAGCUGGGUUUAAAACGUCGUGAGACAGUUUGGUCCCUAUCUUCCGUGGGCGCUGCAGAUUUGAGGAAGCCUGCUCCUAGUACGAGAGGACCGGAGUGGACGAACCUCUGGUGUAUCGGUUGUCACGCCAGUGGCAUUGCCGAGUAGCUAAGUUCGGAAGAGAUAACCGCUGAAAGCAUCUAAGCGGGAAACUCGUUUCAAGAUUAGAUCUGCCGGGGCCUUGAGCCCCCUAAAGAGUCGUUCAAGACCAGGACGUUGAUAGGUCAGGUGUGGAAGC
rnacentral:rRNA from 1 species